ACGCUGGCGGCAGGCCUAACACAUGCAAGUCGAGCGGUAGAGAGAAGCUUGCUUCUCUUGAGAGCGGCGGACGGGUGAGUAAUGCCUAGGAAUCUGCCUGGUAGUGGGGGAUAACGUCCGGAAACGGACGCUAAUACCGCAUACGUCCUACGGGAGAAAGCAGGGGACCUUCGGGCCUUGCGCUAUCAGAUGAGCCUAGGUCGGAUUAGCUAGUUGGUGGGGUAAUGGCUCACCAAGGCGACGAUCCGUAACUGGUCUGAGAGGAUGAUCAGUCACACUGGAACUGAGACACGGUCCAGACUCCUACGGGAGGCAGCAGUGGGGAAUAUUGGGCAAUGGGCGAAAGCCUGAUCCAGCCAUGCCGCGUGUGUGAAGAAGGUCUUCGGAUUGUAAAGCACUUUAAGUUGGGAGGAAGGGCAGUAAAUUAAUACUUUGCUGUUUUGACGUUACCGACAGAAUAAGCACCGGCUAACUCUGUGCCAGCAGCCGCGGUAAUACAGAGGGUGCAAGCGUUAAUCGGAAUUACUGGGCGUAAAGCGCGCGUAGGUGGUUCGUUAAGUUGGAUGUGAAAUCCCCGGGCUCAACCUGGGAACUGCAUUCAAAACUGACGAGCUAGAGUAUGGUAGAGGGUGGUGGAAUUUCCCGUGUAGCGGUGAAAUGCGUAGAUAUAGGAAGGAACACCAGUGGCGAAGGCGACCACCUGGACUGAUACUGACACUGAGGUGCGAAAGCGUGGGAGCAAAC
rnacentral:rRNA from 1 species